AAUUUAUACAGAAGGGGGGAGAGACAGGCUCUGCGAACCCCUAGCAACUUCCAGGUUUGAAACCCGGGUCAGUGCUAAAUCCUGCCACCAAAGGGUAUAUAAAUC
rnacentral:ncRNA from 2 species